rnacentral:rRNA from 1 species
UUAAGCGACUAAGCGUACACGGUGGAUGCCCUGGCAGUCAGAGGCGAUGAAGGACGUGCUAAUCUGCGAAAAGCGUCGGUAAGGUGAUAUGAACCGUUAUAACCGGCGAUGUCCGAAUGGGGAAACCCAGUGUGAUUCGUCACACUAUCGUUAACUGAAUACAUAGGUUAACGAGGCGAACCGGGGGAACUGAAACAUCUAAGUACCCCGAGGAAAAGAAAUCAACCGAGAUUCCCCCAGUAGCGGCGAGCGAACGGGGAGCAGCCCAGAGUCUGAAUCAGCUUGUGUGUUAGUGGAACGGUCUGGAAAGUCCGACGGUACAGGGUGAUAGUCCCGUACACCAAAAUGCACAGGUUGUGAACUCGAAGAGUAGGGCGGGACACGUGGUAUCCUGUCUGAAUAUGGGGGGACCAUCCUCCAAGGCUAAAUACUCCUGACUGACCGAUAGUGAACCAGUACCGUGAGGGAAAGGCGAAAAGAACCCCGGCGAGGGGAGUGAAAAAGAACCUGAAACCGUGUACGUACAAGCAGUGGGAGCACCUUCGGGUGUGACUGCGUACCUUUUGUAUAAUGGGUCAGCGACUUAUAUUCUGUAGCAAGGUUAACCGUAUAGGGGAGCCGCAGGGAAACCGAGUCUUAACUGGGCGUUAAGUUGCAGGGUAUAGACCCGAAACCCGGUGAUCUAGCCAUGGGCAGGUUGAAGGUUGGGUAACACUAACUGGAGGACCGAACCGACUAAUGUUGAAAAAUUAGCGGAUGACUUGUGGCUGGGGGUGAAAGGCCAAUCAAACCGGGAGAUAGCUGGUUCUCCCCGAAAGCUAUUUAGGUAGCGCCUCGUGAACUCAUCUUCGGGGGUAGAGCACUGUUUCGGCUAGGGGGUCAUCCCGACUUACCAACCCGAUGCAAACUACGAAUACCGAAGAAUGUUAUCACGGGAGACACACGGCGGGUGCUAACGUCCGUCGUGAAGAGGGAAACAACCCAGACCGCCAGCUAAGGUCCCAAAGUCAUGGUUAAGUGGGAAACGAUGUGGGAAGGCACAGACAGCCAGGAUGUUGGCUUAGAAGCAGCCAUCAUUUAAAGAAAGCGUAAUAGCUCACUGGUCGAGUCGGCCUGCGCGGAAGAUGUAACGGGGCUAAACCAUGCACCGAAGCUGCGGCAGCGACACUAUGUGUUGUUGGGUAGGGGAGCGUUCUGUAAGCCUGCGAAGGUGACCUGUGAGGGUUGCUGGAGGUAUCAGAAGUGCGAAUGCUGACAUAAGUAACGAUAAAGCGGGUGAAAAGCCCGCUCGCCGGAAGACCAAGGGUUCCUGUCCAACGUUAAUCGGGGCAGGGUGAGUCGACCCCUAAGGCGAGGCCGAAAGGCGUAGUCGAUGGGAAACAGGUUAAUAUUCCUGUACUUGGUGUUACUGCGAAGGGGGGACGGAGAAGGCUAUGUUAGCCGGGCGACGGUUGUCCCGGUUUAAGCAUGUAGGCUGAUUGUCCAGGCAAAUCCGGAUAAUCAAGGCUGAGGUGUGAUGACGAGGCACUACGGUGCUGAAGUAACAAAUGCCCUGCUUCCAGGAAAAGCCUCUAAGCAUCAGGUAACAUCAAAUCGUACCCCAAACCGACACAGGUGGUCAGGUAGAGAAUACCAAGGCGCUUGAGAGAACUCGGGUGAAGGAACUAGGCAAAAUGGUGCCGUAACUUCGGGAGAAGGCACGCUGGUGUGUAGGUGAAGUCCCUGCGGAUGGAGCUGAGACCAGUCGAAGAUACCAGCUGGCUGCAACUGUUUAUUAAAAACACAGCACUGUGCAAACACGAAAGUGGACGUAUACGGUGUGACGCCUGCCCGGUGCCGGAAGGUUAAUUGAUGGGGUUAUCCGUAAGGAGAAGCUCUUGAUCGAAGCCCCGGUAAACGGCGGCCGUAACUAUAACGGUCCUAAGGUAGCGAAAUUCCUUGUCGGGUAAGUUCCGACCUGCACGAAUGGCGUAAUGAUGGCCAGGCUGUCUCCACCCGAGACUCAGUGAAAUUGAACUCGCUGUGAAGAUGCAGUGUACCCGCGGCAAGACGGAAAGACCCCGUGAACCUUUACUAUAGCUUGACACUGAACAUUGAGCCUUGAUGUGUAGGAUAGGUGGGAGGCUUUGAAGCGUGGACGCCAGUCUGCGUGGAGCCAACCUUGAAAUACCACCCUUUAAUGUUUGAUGUUCUAACGUUGGCCCCUGACCGGGGUUGCGGACAGUGUCUGGUGGGUAGUUUGACUGGGGCGGUCUCCUCCCAAAGCGUAACGGAGGAGCACGAAGGUUAGCUAAUCCUGGUCGGACAUCAGGAGGUUAGUGCAAUGGCAUAAGCUAGCUUGACUGCGAGCGUGACGGCGCGAGCAGGUGCGAAAGCAGGUCAUAGUGAUCCGGUGGUUCUGAAUGGAAGGGCCAUCGCUCAACGGAUAAAAGGUACUCCGGGGAUAACAGGCUGAUACCGCCCAAGAGUUCAUAUCGACGGCGGUGUUUGGCACCUCGAUGUCGGCUCAUCACAUCCUGGGGCUGAAGUAGGUCCCAAGGGUAUGGCUGUUCGCCAUUUAAAGUGGUACGCGAGCUGGGUUUAGAACGUCGUGAGACAGUUCGGUCCCUAUCUGCCGUGGGCGCUGGAGAAUUGAGGGGGGCUGCUCCUAGUACGAGAGGACCGGAGUGGACGCAUCACUGGUGUUCGGGUUGUCAUGCCAAUGGCACUGCCCGGUAGCUAAAUGCGGAAGAGAUAAGUGCUGAAAGCAUCUAAGCACGAAACUUGCCCCGAGAUGAGUUCUCCCUGAGACUUUAAGUCUCCUGAAGGAACGUUAAAGACGAUGACGUUGAUAGGCCGGGUGUGUAAGCGCAGCGAUGCGUUGAGCUAACCGGUACUAAUGAACCGUGAGGCUUAACCUU